AGAACAGCCAUCUUGGGUAUCUCACUUCCAUCUCUAGCGUUGCUCGUGAUUUGCUCUUUCCUCAUUGAGAGUGACCACCCCACUCUCGGAAACACAGAAGUCAAGCUGAAUUGCAUUGGAAACCUCGUGCAUUUCAGGAUGGGUGCUCAGGUGUGGACAGGUUGCUUCUGCCAUUUGUGGAUUAAAAAAAGAAGAAACGAAUGUGAAGAAAAGAUCUGAAAUAUUGACCAUUUCCUCACAAAUGAGAUGUCUGCUUUGCAGUCUGUUCUGGUGAGCUUGUUUGGAGCCAUCAUUCCCAUCUGGAGCAGAGAGAAUCAGCCUCGAGAGCAGUCUAUGUUGUUGCAUCCAGCAUUCAAAUGAUAUUAUCUUUGUUUCUUACACUGACGACAAGACAUUUAGGUUGGAGAACUCCAGUGGGCAUUAGAGCUGCUCUGAAGGGCUUACAUGAUUUGAAGAAAAUGUCAUAAAAGAAACACAAGUUCUUCUAUAAAAACACAGACGUCCUACUUUUUUAUUAUUAUCGGGGCAGUUUUCACUUUCUUUAGCUAUAGUUUAUCUGUUUGCAGUUUUUAAUUUCCCUUUAUUUAUAUUAGAUGCUGUUAAAUACAGGAAUUCAACUUG
rnacentral:lncRNA from 7 species